UACGGAGGAUGCAAGCGUUAUCCGGAAUGAUUGGGCGUAAAGGGUCCGCAGGUGGCAAUGUAAGUCUGCUGUCAAAGAAUGAGGCUCAACCUCAUCAAGGCAGUGGAAACUACGUAGCUAGAGUACGGUCGGGGUAGAAGGAAUUCCUGGUGUAGCGGUGAAAUUCGUAGAUAUCAAGAGGAACACCUGAGGUGAAGACGGGUUGCUGGGCUGAUACUGACGCUGAUGCGCGAAAGCCAGGGGAGCGAACGGG
rnacentral:rRNA from 1 species